AGUUAAGUUAACCACUUUAUAUUAAUCCUGGCCUGCCCAGGAAAGUGCCACACUCCUGCCAGAGGAUGGGGUGCACAAAACCUUUGCCCAGACUGUGGGGUGCAUUGAGGCCUUGUGCCCCAGUUCCGCUGAGUGGAAAGAUUAAUUUUCCUAGAGGAAAAGAGGAAGAUUAACUCCUGGAGGUGGGUAAAUCCACUCACAGAAGUGUCCAGAAGAGCUGCCAUUGGGGAUGACCUGGAAAACCUGAUGACUUCUGUGCAUGAGGACAGUGCUUGGCUGAAAGCAGGACAUUCCAGACUCCGAGCAGAGGUGACCGCUGGACAUACUGGCAAAAACCACAUUCCCUGCAGGGUUGGCUUGUUUUAUUUCCCUAAAAGCUUGGAGGAAAAAACCUUCCAAUGAGAUACAAAACUGGCUUUAAAGCAGUGCUGGAUGUGGUCCCUUGGUGGGGAAGGGGGGCUGUCUGAAA